UGAGUGGCGGACGGGUGAGUAACGCGUGGGUAACCUGGCCCUGUACAGGGGGAGUAACAGUUAGAAAUGACUGCGUAAUACCGCAUAAGCGCACGAUGGUAGCAUUACCAGGUGUGAAAAACUCCGGUGGUACAGGAUGGGCCCGCGUCUGAUUAGCUUGUUGGCGGGGUAAGAGCCCACCAAGGCGACGAUCAGUAGCCGGUCUGAGAGGAUGAACGGCCACAUUGGAACUGAGACACGGUCCAAACUCCUACGGGAGGCAGCAGUGGGGAAUAUUGCACAAUGGGGGGAACCCUGAUGCAGCAAAACCGCCGCGUGAGUGAAGAAGUAUUUCGGUAUGUAAAGCUCUAUCAGCAGGGAAGAUAACCCCUGACGGUACCUGACUAAGAAGCUCCGGCUAAAUACGUGCCAGCAGCUGC
rnacentral:rRNA from 1 species